CUACGGGAGGCAGCAGUGGGGAAUAUUGGACAAUGGUCCAAAAGUCUGAUCCAGCAAUUCUGUGUGCACGAUGAAGGUCUUCGGAUUGUAAAGUGCUUUCAGUAGGGAAGAAGAAUGUGACGGUACCUACAGAAGAAGCGACGGCUAAAUACGUGCCAGCAGCCGCGGUAAUACGUAUGUCGCAAGCGUUAUCCGGAAUUAUUGGGCAUAAAGGGCGUCUAGGUGGUUUACUAAGUCUGAUGUGAAAAUGCGGGGCUCAACUCCGUAUUGCGUUGGAAACUGGUUUACUAGAGUCUUGGAGAGGUGGGCGGAACUACAAGUGUAGAGGUGAAAUUCGUAGAUAUUUGUAGGAAUGCCGAUGACGAAGGUAGCUCACUGGACAAGUACUGACACUAAAGCGCGAAAGCUAGGGGAGCAAACAGGAUUAGAUACCCCAGUAGUC
rnacentral:rRNA from 1 species